rnacentral:rRNA from 1 species
UACGUAGGGGGCGAGCGUUGUCCGGAUUUACUGGGCGUAAAGCGCACGCAGGCGGUGCUGCGCGUUUGGGGUUACAGCUCCCGGCUCAACCGGGAGAGCGCCUCGAAGACGGCAGCACUUGAGGGCCAGAGAGGGACACGGAACUCCGGGUGGAGUGGUGAAAUGCGUAGAUAUCCGGAAGAACACCAAAGGCGAAGGCAGUGUCCUGGCUGGUACCUGACGCUCAGGAGCGAAAGCGUGGGGAGCGAACAGG